CUAACGCCUUCAGUCCUGGCGCUGGAGCGUUGCUCCUUGCAUGCUCCUAUGCAGCAUCAGUGUUUUCUUUUCAAGGUUCAACUUUUGUUAAGUCUGUCGCAUGAAACAGUGGGCUAUACUCGGCCUUGUCUUAGGAUGAGGACCUGAGCACUAGGGCCAUGCUUCAGGACUACCUGGCCUGAUGACUCCUUGCUGUCCCCAAUCCACCUGGCCGUGCUGCUGCUCCAGUUUCAACUGUUCUAUCUGCGGCUAUGGAAUCCUGACCUGUACACCGGACGUGCUACCUGUCCCAGACCUAUUAUUUGACCAUGCUGGUCAUUUAUGAACAUUUGAACAUCUUGGCCAUGGUCUGUUAUAAUCUCCACCUGGCACAGCCAGAAGAGGACUGGCCACCCCUCAUAGCCUAGUUCCUCUCUAGGUUUCUUCCUAGGUUUUGGCCUUUCUAGGGAGUUUUUCCUAUUCAACGUGCUUCAACACCUGCAUUGCUUGCUGUUUGGGGUUUUAGGCUGGGUUUCUGUACAGCACUUUGAGAUAUCAGCUGAUGUACGAAGGGCUAUAUAAAUACAUUUGAUUUGAUUUGAUUUGAAUAACAAUGCAUUCAGAACCAAUUGAAAA